rnacentral:rRNA from 1 species
UACGUAGGGUGCAAGCGUUAAUCGGAAUUACUGGGCGUAAAGCGUGCGCAGGCGGCUUUGCAAGACAGAUGUGAAAUCCCCGGGCUUAACCUGGGAACUGCAUUUGUGACUGCAUGGCUGGAGUGCGGCAGAGGGGGAUGGAAUUCCGCGUGUAGCAGUGAAAUGCGUAGAUAUGCGGAGGAACACCGAUGGCGAAGGCAAUCCCCUGGACCUGUACUGACGCUCAUGCACGAAAGCGUGGGGAGCAAACAGG